ACGUAGGAUUCAAACGUUAUCCGGAUUUACUGGGCGUAAAGCGCGUGCAGGCGGUUUGGUAAGUUGGAUGUGAAAGCUCCGGGCUCAACCCGGAGAGGUCGUUCAAUACUGCCAGACUAGAGGACGAUAGAGGAAGGUGGAAUUCCAGGUGUAGUGGUGAAAUGCGUAGAUAUCUGGAGGAACACCAGUGGCGAAAGCGGCCUUCUGGGUCGGUCCUGACGCUAAGACGCGAAAGCUAGGGUAGCAAACGGG
rnacentral:rRNA from 1 species